rnacentral:rRNA from 1 species
ACUUGACCUCNAAUCAGGUAGGA